AAUGAACGCUGGCGGCAUGCCUAACACAUGCAAGUCGAGCGGACGCACGAGGAGCUUCGUUCGCUGGUUUUAGCACCGGAGGGGAGGGGAACACGUCUGUGACCUAGCUAUAAGACUGGGGUAACUUCGGGGAACCGGAGCUAAUAGCGGAAAAUUUUUUGAAGAACAUGGUUCAAGAGUGAGAGACGGUCUUGCUGUGACUUAUAGAUGAAUCCGCGUUUCAUUCGCUAGUUGGUAAGGUAACGGCUUAACCAGGCAACGAUGGAUACCCGACCUGAGACGGUCAUUCGCCAGCCGGGAAGUGAGACUCGUCACAGACUCCUACGGGAAGCAGCAGUCGGGAAUCUUACGCAAUGGGCGAAAGCCUGACGGAGCAACGCCGCGUGAAUGAUGAAGGUCUUCGGCUCGUAAAGCUCUGUUAGCAGGGAGGAAGAUAAGUGUAAUUACCUGUGAACAUAUUGACGGUACCCAAAGAAGAAGCCACGGCUAACUCCGUG
rnacentral:rRNA from 1 species